AUGUACUAUUCACGAAUAUUAUUCGCAAGCACGGUUCAUAUAUUAUUUAUAUCGCUAUUCACGAUACUAUUCAUAUAUACUAUUUAUAUUACUAUUCAUAUACUAUAUAUAUACAUAUAUUAUAAGAGAGAAAAUAAAUAUGAUCCGCAUAUUAUUUUAUUAUUUAAUUAUAUACAAUGA